UACGGGGGGAGCAAGCGUUGUUCGGAUUUACUGGGCGUAAAGGGCGCGUAGGCGGUCAGCACAAGUCAGUUGUGAAAUCUCCGGGCUUAACUCGGAAAGGUCAACUGAUACUGUGCGACUAGAGUGCAGAAGGGGCAACUGGAAUUCUCGGUGUAGCGGUGAAAUGCGUAGAUAUUGGGAGGAACACCAGUGGCGAAGGCGGCUCACUGGACCGGAACUGACGCUGAGGCGCGAAAGCGUGGGGAGCAAACAGG
rnacentral:rRNA from 1 species